rnacentral:rRNA from 1 species
AGUUUGAUCCUGGCUCAGGAUGAACGCUGGCGGCGUGCCUAACACAUGCAAGUCGAACGGGGGCAGAUUGAAACCUAGUGAUAUCUGCCCGAGUGGCGGACGGGUGAGUAACGCGUGGACAACCUGCCGCAUGCAGGGGGAUACCGGCUGGAAACAGCCGCUAAUACCGCAUAUGCGCACGGCGCCGCAUGGCGCCGCACGGAAAGGGAGCAAUCCCGGCAUGCGAUGGGUCCGCGUCCGAUUAGCUUGUUGGCGGGGCAGCGGCCCACCAAGGCAACGAUCGGUAGCCGGCCUGAGAGGGCGGACGGCCACAUUGGGACUGAGACACGGCCCAGACUCCUACGGGAGGCAGCAGUGGGGGAUAUUGCACAAUGGGGGGAACCCUGAUGCAGCGACGCCGCGUGGGUGAAGGAGUGCUUCGGCAUGUAAAGCCCUAUCGGCAGGGAAGAAGCAAGACGGUACCUGACUAAGAAGCCCCGGCUAACUACGUG